CUCUGAAAAUUGUACUACGAGAGAAGAUUAAUAGCCGACGACGACAUCCCAAAAGUUAAUCUCAAUAGAAUAACUACCGUACAGCAAAAAUCCAUUGGGAUCCAUCUUGAGGUGAAGCAGAAGAAGAGAUUAACCAAAUUUUGGUGGCAUCUCUAGGGCUGGAAGUGCGUUCUCAUCCCGCACAAUAGAAAAUAGUAAUUAUAAAAUUUUUAUUACCCUAACGGAGGCUACAAGUGAUAUAUAAUCAGGUAAUUGGCCUUACGUUCCACGAAUUCAUUAAUCUGCGACCGAAAUCAUACAGCCUGCAUGUGGCUAAACGGCCAUGUUUUGGUGAAGGCAGUAUCUCCAAAAUUAAAUUGUAAUCUUUUUCAUAUUGGGCUUAGGUAAAAGAGAAACUUAGUGACCUGUACACACAAUAUUGUUUAUUUACAUAAUUAAAUGAUGCGGCGAAAAGUGUCCCGUACGACGAGCAAACUCAAUCGAUGAAAGUCACGUCAAACAAGCCAUAGACGCGGUGCUCAAAACCAAAAAUUAACAAUUCGGGACCUUACUGAUACUUUUGCAUUUCAAAAGGACGAGUUAACAACAUUGAAAUCAUGUUUUGUGCCUGGAACGCGUCAAAUCUCGAUUGAUAGCAAAAAUGCUCAAUUUCUUCGAAAAGGAGCGUCACGUUGAAAUCUGUGGGAAGACGAUUUCUGACUACCGACCGAUCAUGGAGCGCAUUAUUAUCAAAGAUGGAACUUGGACUUACGCAUACGACUCGAAAACAAACAAGCAACCGAACGAAUAUUGCCCAAAAGACCACUCUGGGGACAUCGUUUUGACCCGACUGAAGCGAUACAAGCUGAAUCGCACAAAACCUUGAAGGACGUUCCACGUCGAAAAUCGAUUAUAAUAAUUGUUUCGAAGAUUGGAAAACACGUCGGCAUAAGUGUAUAGAGCAUCGUGAUGUGCCAUAUAUCUGUACAUCUUCCAAAUUAUACGCAAAAUUUGCACUUGACCUAGGGGCAACCCUAGAUAGAGUUUUGCUAUUGCUAAGAGAGCCUAUGCGUAGUUUACAAUCAUGUUACUUUCUUGUCGAAGCUAAAAAACAUAAUUUUAAAUUAAAUCAUUUGAGUGAUUUGUAUAUCAGUUUGUUCUUAGAACAGAGAUGUUCAUUUUUAUUGCACUUCAACAUGCUACUAGCUCUCAUAAUUGUUUAAUUCAAUUAUUGUUUAAUAAGAAAAAUGCAGAGAGGGAAUGGGGGAAUGGAAAAGAAAAAUAAUCCUCUGUACAACUUAUUCGUAAUAGGUACGAGAUAUUUAACAUUUCCUGUAGUUGGACGAAAUAAGUGUUACAUGGACAGAAUAUAUUAUACUUUCAUGGGAUAACAAAAAUGAUUACAUCUUUUAAAGUUUUAAUAAGUUUGUAUAUUUUUCAAGUAUGUGCUAGUUUUAAUUCUGCGCAACAAAUAACAUAUGCGCGUAUACAUGUACGAGCAUCAAUAUUCUCAACUACGCGAAUAUGUAGAAAAAUUUCUAGUAAAAAUAUCUCAAUUUGACAUAAUUACUGUCAUUAACAGUUUGGUUGCAUUGCAAAUUGAAUUAGUCUGUUUGCGAUGAACGCACUCACCCGCUCACUUACACAAGGUUGCUGAUUGUUACUAGUCCUGAUGUUAAUUUUACUUCUACUGUUCUGCACAAAAAAAAAAAAAAAAAAAAGAAUGAAAA